ACGCGUACGCUUUUCUGUUUUCUGCGUACGCGAAAAGUCUCGCGGACGCUAAAAAGGAAUUUUCUUUUCGCGUACGCAACAAAAAUUCUCAAGCAACUACGCGUACGCUUUCGAUAUCUGCGUACGCGAAGUUGGCAGAGGUCUUGCGGACGCUAAACAUUUUUUCUGCUAUAGAAAGAAAUCCUCGCGUACGCUUUAGAGUAUCUGCGUACGCGAAGUGAGGUUAAGUAGAGGUCUCGCGGGUCGCGGACGCGAAAUAUUUUUGCUGCUAUAGAGAGAAAUCCAGAAAUCCACGCAGGCUUUAUAGGGUCGUGUCUCCGUACCUCGUAUUUGCGUACGCGAACUGGUUAGAGGUAGAAAAAAAUUAUCACAAAAUAUGAGCGCUAUAAAAUAUUACAUAAAAACUAACCUCUAAACAGUUAUAAUUUUGCACUUGGAAAAUGACAAUAAUGUACAACGGAUUUAAAUGACUGGGCAGAUAAAUAAUGAUAGUAAAGUCUUCUAAGCUCUUCAAAGGUGUCAACGUGAAAUUACUUUUUGAUGCUGGCGAUUGCAUCGAUUUUUGUAAAACUGAAGCUGUAGAUGAAUUCAAAACUGGUUGAUUCUGAAGAUUAUAAUAAUUGAUGUAUUAUUAUACAGAAUUAUUUAGAACCUGAUGCAUUUUCUAAAUUAAAAUCUAUGAGAGACAAAAGACGUAAAAUGAAGAAAACUAUAUUCAUCUGCAAUGUAUGCAGGUUAGAAGCACAUGAUGAAGUUGGAGAAUGUACUUGCUGUGGUGGAUGGGUACAUUACAAAUGCGUUAACAUGUCGCAAAGAGAUUUUGAUUCUGUAGAUAAGUGGUUUUUGUCCAUCCUGCGUUCAAUGUUUUUAAACCUUAUAAGUUUCUUAAAAUAAUCACAAGAUUUUGUAUUUCAAUUAUACCAUUAUUGGAUUUUUAUACUUAAUAUUAACAAAAAAAUUAUAUCAAUCAUUCAUUUUAAUUCUGCAACUAAACAGUUUAGUUUAUUCGGCGUUUCGUGUUUUAAAAAUAAAUAUUUUGAUAGUUUUUAGUUGGAUGUAAUAUUUUGGAGCGCUCAUAUUUUGUGAUAAUUUUUUCUACCUACUUUUGAAAAAGUUAAAUAAAUGUAUUAAAUUACACUUA